rfam:Hordeum vulgare subsp. vulgare, WGS project CAJW01000000 data, contig: morex_contig_48967
UAUAUACUCCCUCCGUCCGGAAUUACUUGAUGCACAAAUAGAUAAAAAUGGAUGCAUCUAGAACUAAAAUACAUCCAGAUACAUCCAUUCCUAUGACAAGUAUUUCCGGACGGAGGGAGUAUUCG